UUUAUUCCAGUCAACUUUAAAUAAGAGUCAUCACAAAGGCGAAAAAUGAAGAUUUGAAUGAAAGUGGCCUGUGGAGGUCAAGUUAGAAUUAUUGCUUCUGACAGAAAAGAGAGCAUACUUUAAGGCUGACUUCAUGCCAGGGAUAUCUCCGUACUCAUCAGUAAUUCGUUCUGGAAGAUGCAAUGAAUACUAAAACCGAUGAGUACUAAGAAAACCAAAUGACCCGCUAUUUCAGCUGGAAGAAAUAGUGAGUCAUGAGACAGCCGACGGCAGCAAGUUCUUUCUUGUGUUUCAACUAUGGGGAGAAUGACAAUUGCUGGGACAAGAUUUCUCCUUCAAAACACGUCAUAUACCAAAUUCAACGACUUUUGAAAUGGAGUAUUGAGGGAUGCAGUGUCGCAGUGGCUUAAUGAUGGUGAAACUGCCAGCCAGAAAUGGUCUGCACUAGGUUCAAGCCUAGCUCGGAGAUACAAUGAGCCCCCAUCACUCAAUCCCUAGCUCCUGCCCACCCAGCAGUACAAAAGCACGCAAUAUUGUGAGUAGACAAAUGAGUUACCACUUUGGUGGGAAAAACCCACCAAACUGCGUUCAUGUAUGUGAAGAGCGGAAGCUGGAGCUGGACCUCAUCAGACGUGAGGCAUUGUGACAUGAAGUGAAGUGAGGCAAGAUCGGUGGAGAAGCCCAGAAGAGCAAGCAACCCGAGUACUGCUAGUUACCUGGUGUAUGCUAGUUUGCCCCCUGUGGUGCACCAAGGAUAGAACAGAAUGAAUUCGCAAUUUAGGCUGUCCAAACUGCGUUGUGUGUCUAGCAUGUAGAGAUUUCCCUGGCACUAUAUACCGUAUGUGAAAUAAAUAACUUCAUUUUCUUAAAAAAAUAUUCUGUAAAAAAAUGUGGGGCCAGGAUUCGUAUCAUAAAGGAGACACAAUGGUAAAAAACUGUGUUUUUCUAUGUCUCCUGUAUCUUCAAUUAAUCAUCAACUACACGAACCUGGGGGAGAAAAAGUAUCAGUUUAAUGUCAAAUUUUCAAAAUGAUAGUCUGCUCCCUUCAGAAGAAAUUCGGUCUCCAGAUCUCUUUCCUAGGCCAAGUUCCUAUGAGAAAAGAGUAUUUGUUGCCUGGAAUUAACUGCUACUGCCUACAAGAUAUACUUCACGCUAUGGGAUUCUUGACCCCACAUGUUACAAUUUCUAAAACAUGGUGGGAUGCUUAUUUUUGUUUACAGUAGAGCACUGUGUCCCUGGGAGUUUUCCAGAAAUGUAAAAAUUUGCCUAGUAGAUAAAUUCAGCUUGCUACAUUGAAAUAAACAGCCUAUUUGAUGGCAUUCAUUUAGUUUUAAAUCUAUUUAAACUCUGGGAUAGCUUCCAGCCAAAAAACCCUGGGGACUUCCGUUUUGUGGCAUAAAUAGUGAGAACAUUAUUUACAAGGAAAUCUUAUCUCAAACGAUUUCCCACAUUCUCAAUGGGAAGUGAAAGCUAUUAAAUCAGUGUGGCAACCAAUAUACACAAACUUAUCAUAGUCAUUUUUAAAAGAAAUUAUGCUUUAGCCCAGAGGAGCCCAACGCUGUUAUGACAGCUGGCCUGGUAUAGUAUUUAAAGUUGCUGGACUAGGAGCAGGGAAACCUGAGGUUUCAUCUUCACUCAACCACAGAAACUCACUGGAUAAUAUUUGGCCUCUCCGUUUGUCUUAGUCCAAUGUACUUCCCAGGGUUGCUCUGGUUGGGAAAAACAGGUGGGAGAACCAUUUGCACCACCUUCAGCUCUUGAAGGAAAGGCAGAACAUGUCAAAUACCAAAUAAACACAUAACCCUGACUGGCAAACAAUAGAAUAGAAUAAAAGAAAAAAGAUUAACUUAAUUGCAAUGAGAAAGGAGGGUGAAGAAAAGAAGCUUCCUUUCUUUCUGAACUAUACCUUUCCCACCCUCCCACCCACCUUUCAGCCAUACCUCUACAGUUCAGAGAGAAAUAGUGAUUGCUUGCCAACUCCACCUCUGUCAACAUGAAAGUGUAUUCAAGGAAAGCUGCGAUGAGUAAUGCUACAAAAAAGAAAAAUCUUUUUUUCCCCUUGUUCCUUGUAGAAGUUGGCAAGAAAGAUGUCUACAGCCUUAUUAAGAACUGAAAGAUACCUAGAGUGGCAGCUGUCCUGGUAACCACAGCGCUCUCAUUGAACCAGAAAUAGACACUGAAACAACUGUGAAAGGUGGGCACACAGCAUUGGUGAACAAGGCUCAAGCAACACAUGAACACUGACAGCAGGUGAAGAGGCCAGAGUACGCACAGAAAAAGCUGAGCUCUAUCAGAACCAGCAAAACAGUAACCGUGUAAUGAAGUCAACAAUAUAUCUCCAGCAGCAAAAGGAGAAGCAAAAAGAAAGCAAAAAAGACUGAAUUAAGACAAUUAAGCAGGAGAAAAAAAUAUGUGCUUAGAUGCAGUUUAAGAAUUUGUCUUGAUUUAGCUAUAUGAUUUUACAAAGUUUCUACUCUCCUUAGGAGCUUUCGCUCCCAGGGGUCAGUUUUCAUUGGUUUAACAUCUGAAGUGCAUCUAUUGAUAUUUACAUUAUUAAAGAUGUGGGAUCUUUGUUUCCAGUUCCAGGUCUAUAUCACAUUUGAGAUCAAUACUCUGCACCUGUUUUUUUCCCCAGUGCUGGUACUGAGGUUUGGUUUCUCAGCAUAGGAAACACCAGGUUAAUUAACUUGAUUCACUUCUGAAGACUGCAUUCUAAUGUGGACCAUUAUUAUACCAGCUAUAACAGAUAUACUAUUCAAAUCUAUUAUGUAGUCUCGGUUAAGAUUGAUACUGAAGUCUCAGCAUCAAUCAGGAGAGUAAUAGCAUUAGUAUAUUGUCAGUUUGAGACCAUCUUUGUUUUCUAUCAGAUUCAAAAAGUACUAUAAAAGAACCGUUCUUUCAACUUGGCUGGAUUCAAGCAACAUCCUAAAUCAUACACAAUGGUUUGUGAAUUACAAUUGCUAAGAUUAUAUAGCAUACUGUAUUAAACACUUAGUGUGAUAUAUAAGAAAAGGAUAUACAAUGUUGCUUCCCAACACUUGGUCUGUGGACCGGCAGCAGGCUUUGACAUGCCAUAAAUUGGACCAUGCAAAGAAGCAAAACCCCAUCCACAGGAUGCAGGCAGAAAUAGCGAAACCAUGCCCACUCCAGUCCACGCAAAAACCUUUCUCCACAGAACCCCCAAAAGGUUGGGGGCCACUAUAAUGCAAUUGUCUAUUACAAACUGUCAAAACAUCAGUUAUCAAGAUACUAAUGACAAAUUGGGAUUAGUGUCACAGUAAAGUAAGAAUGUCUUCCAAAUGUCCACACCUUUUUCACUAAGCAAAUAUUGUUUUGUCUUUGUAAACCAGGGGUAGUCAACCUUUUUAUACCUACUGCCCACUUUUGUAUCUGUUAGUAGUAAAAUUUUCUAACUGCCCACCGGUUCCACAGUAAAGCGCUGUGUAUCGUCGUCUGCACAUGCCUCUCGCGCAUCAUGGAUUGGGUUGGGGGGGGCACAGGCUACCAGCUCUGCUCGUCUAUUACAGCUGGGUGGUGUGGGGGGAGAUGCGCAAGCUAUUCUGGGACAGGCUCUUUUAUUUGCGGUCGCACUAUAGCGCCAUUUAGUAUCACUUACAUAACAUGAACUAAACUUAUGCGCGGGAGAUACAAAUAGUAUAUUUUCAGAAAUUUAAAUUGUCACAGGGAAUUUUAUGAAAACCUAAUGAAAAUGUUUUUAAAUAAUGCUGUGAAUUUUUUAAAAAAAGUCAAUUAAAUUAAAAAAAGGAAAGUGCUUCAGUAUCAGACAAAACCCCUACCGCCCACCCUGAGAGGUGGAACGCCCACUAGUGGGCAGUAGGGACCAGGUUGACUACCACUGUUGUAAACUGUAGUUGAAAUUGAUUUUAUUCCACAACUAUGAGCAUAUGAUUUUUGCUAUUUGGCGGAUUUCACUGUUCUUUUGCAUAAGCCUUAGCUCCUUUGGCCUGGGAAUGUUAACAAUAAAAGGUGAGACAUAAAUGUCAUAACAGAAAGAGGGGGUCCCUUUCAUUUCUCUAGUAAAACAUAUUUCUAUAAAUAGCCUGAUCAAGUUUCAUUUUAUAAUAAUAAUAAUAAUGUUAGAUAUAAAUACUGAGUUCAAUAUUCAGUCUGAAGUAAGAAUGCCAUCUGCUGGAUACUAGUAUUUCAAGGCUAACUUGUUCUGACCCAGUUUUGUUUACAAGAUUGGGCAUGACCAAAUGUGCAAGAACCAACAAAAAACAGAAGCAAUUAUCUGGAUAACUGGAAUACAGUUUUAUGUUUUAAAAAAUGGAAGUUGAAUCAUUAAAGUUAAAUUGCUGUUAAAACUGAAUUGUUAAAUAAACUACUUUUUGGGCAAUGGAUUCUCAAAAGCUGCUUUAGUUACAGGAAAACUAAAAAAAAAAGCAUGAUGUAACAAAAGAAGUGAAAGAGGAAAUUCCAACUAAACUAACUUAAAACUACCUGACUGGAAAAAGUGAACAGCAUGAUGAUAUGUACAUAUAUAUGUCACAACUGAGUUUAUAAGUAAACAAGCAUAAAUAUAUUUAUCUGUAAAGAAAACCCCUUGAUUCCAAGACUGAAGCUAACUUUGGGAAGCUUUAUGCUAGCUUCCUUCCACUCAGUUACUGGGUUAUGAUUAAGUACUGCUGCAUCUGCCAAACUGUUUUAUUUGCCAAAAUAAUGCUGACAUUUGCAAUUACCCAUAAUACAGUAACUCACAUUUUUUCUGCUCUACUCAGAGGGAUUUUUUUGUUAUAUCUUCUGGUAAAGGAAACACACACAGAUACAACCUGCUACACUUUACAGGAAUUUUUAAGUAAAAUAUUUUGUUUUCCUAGUAUGUUCAAAAGACAUUAAGGAAGAAUGUGGAAAGUAAAACACUCAGCUGUUAGGAUUUCUAUCUAAAUCAAGUGCUGAAAACCAGAGUUAAGCAAGAUUCACUCCUUCUGUUGUAAUAUUACUGUAACUCAUAUUCUUUGUCACAUGUAAGAUGGGAAGACACAAUUGUCAAGUUUUCUAUCUAAUUCAUAACACUGAAUAUCUAAGUAGUUAAUAAUACAGUAAUUAUACAAAAGAUAUUUCGUAUCUGAAUUACCUAGAGCUACUUAUAUGUUGUAUCUUCCAUAAGAUUCUGUUAUAGCUAAAAACACAAGCAGACUAAAUAUUUUAUCUCGGCUUGCAUCAAUGUAUGGAAUACAGGCACUCCUCAAUUUACAACCAUAUGGAGCCUGCUCAUUACAGUUAUAAAUCAUGACAACCAUAAAGCAGGAGCUGUGACUGGAUCUGUUUUUACAAUCUUUUGGUUGUAUUAUCAUUAAGUGAACACUGUGGUCACUGUGAACUCAUUGUUCGUUAUGGGCCAUUUCUGCAGAAAACUGGAAGUAAACAUUGGUUUUCAGCAAAAACAUCGUAAAUUAUGAUCACGUGAUAGAAGGAUGCGAGAAACAGCAACAAAUGCAGGCUUCUUGUCAAUCACCCGAAAUGUGGUCACAUGACCCCAGGUGCUGGCCAUCCUAACUUCAAAGCCAGGUUAUAAAUGCCUUUUUGAUAGGGCAUCCUAUCUUGGAACAGUUGCUAAAUGAUGAGCUGUUAAGUCAAAUACUACCAGUACUGUAACUCAUCUUUCAAAUGUAUCUCUGUUUUGCCACUUAGCAAUAAGAAAGUCUCAAAAAUGGAACAUAUCUUCAAAAAAGAGACUGUGACUUAAAAGAGCCUUUUUUAGCUUAAUAAAGUUAAUAAUCUCAUAAAAUGAUUAAGAUAUGAAAGGCAUGACUUAUUCUGUUUGAAAAAUAAAUUGCAAAGUAGCUGCUUUUUCAACAAAGUGAUUGCAGUCCGCCCCCCGCCCAUAACUGAAAGGCUCACCAACAGCUCUGGUUUCAUCCAGUCAAAAAGAUCUUUUAUAGAUGAACAAGAUGCAAUGCUUGAGCAGAGUCUGGGUUGCUACACAUCUUCUUCAUGACCUGUUUUCCAUUCUAUCUUUUGUGAUAAUCAAAAACAAUCAUCAGUUGUUCCCCCAUGUUCAGAUUGGGAAACAACAUUCAACAUUAUCAACCACUAGACAACAAUUGACCUGCGGUGUCAUUGUUUCAAAGGUAUUUCCUUACCACAUCCCUCCAAAUCUUCAAUUAAUUGCUGCCAGCUUCCCACAGGACUGAAAAGAGCCAGACACAUAAGAACAAUGGGAGAAUUCUAGUGUACUGCCUUCACUGGAAAGGUUGUUAAAAAUUCAGAGAUAAAUCUGCCUUGAAAGUAAUAUUAACUGUAUAGCACAAACAUCAGGAAUUGACCAAAUGAAAAGUUUUAUGACAUUUUGUAUUAUGUUAUAAAAUGUUUUAUAAUUUUUAUACCUUAAUAUGUUUUACAAAAUUUGUCAAAUUUCAGUUCCACUGGUCAUGAAUUUAGGAUUUUGGAUAAAUUCUUUAAGUUAGCACAUUUGAAGUAGUGCAAAAAUUAUUGCCCUAUGAUGCAUUGAUUUUGCCAUUAAAAGUUACACACAAACAGGUGAGUUUUAGCAAUAUACAGAUUGGUAGAAUCCCAUUACUUACAAGAUAAGAUCACAAAAUCAUAAUCUAUACUUUUAUAUAUAUAUAUGUGUAAGUUUAGGAGCAACUUUCCCAAUAUGAUUUUUCAUAUCUAUCAAGAAACUUGAUUUUGGGACGUGAUUCACUACAAAACUCUCUUUAAUUAAUUAUUGUUAUUCCAUAUAUACAGCAUUAGACUCUUUUUGUGACUUUUAAGAAAAAUUCUUUUAUUUCCAAAUAAUUAAAAACCCUCCCCCAUAUUUUAAACACAACAAACUGUUUUACAUUAAGCAUAUCAUUGAAUAUUCAUUUAUAUUGACAGGUUUAACAUUUCACCUUAAGCCAUGUUACAUUUAAUCAUGUUUUGAUGACUAAACCACAAUUGGCUGGGUUCCCUCAUUACUCUAAACUAAAACCAUAUGAAACACACUAAAGCACACUAUGUAAUGUCUUAGUGCAUUAAUCUGCAAACUGUUAAUCACAAUCUCCUGUGGGUUGUGAUAAAUUUGAGGAGUAUGAGAAUUUCUGGCUGGUCAGAAAGAUUGUACACAUGUGAGAGGGAAGACAGCACCUGCAUAGUUCCAAUUCCUAGGGAAAUCAAGAGGGAAGGAACUAGUAUCAUACACAAUGGGAAACAGUGCACUUCAGAACUGGGAUGAUAACGCAGCACCAAGUUCAAUAUGUUGGGUAGCUGCAAGUGAACCAACAUGCUUUCUUGGCUGCUUUUGCUGUUGUCAAGAAUCUUCUCAGGGCUUUUUUGCUAUCUGAUAUGCUACCUGUGGCCACCUGGCUUCCUAAUAGUAAGACUUCCACAGAACUCCAACCAGUUUGCUUCCAAAUAUGGAGAAAACGUCAGAUUCUAUCAUGCCUGGCCAUCUGGCAGCUGAAGCUUCUAGAAUGCAGUGUAAAAAUUCCACACAAAAUUCCAAUACUAUUCAUAUACAUACAAACAUUGUCAGUAUUAUUACUUUACAGAGACUGCAGCACUACAAAAUUUGAGAUUCCUUAAUGCCAUAAGCAAAUCUAAGCAGUGGCUAAAUAAGAUCACAAAAAGUGAAAUCCAAAUUAGAUUGCAUUUCUUUUGAGUUUUCUCAAAAUUUCUGUAAUAGUGGGAAGACUUCCGGUUGACGUUGCAGUGAGAAUGGCUGGAAAAUAGCAGGCUCCACUGAGCCCUGCAAAAACCAGCCAGCAACUGCUGUUGGGAGACCCUAUGGGGUCCAAGCCACCUUGUAGCGGCGAAGAAAGGAGAGGUGCUUCAUGGACCAUGAGGAACUCACAAUUUCCUCGUUAGGUCCGAAGCAAGCUCUCCUGAGUGGCAGCAGGGACGACAGCCAUUUUUAGCUAGUCACAAGCUGGGACCACAAGAUUUGUGCUGGAGCAAUCUGUGGACAGAGCAUUGAAGCUGGGUGAGAUAACUUCCAACUCUUACCUUAAAGACUUAAGUACAAGAACUUCAAAAAAAUACUCCAAAUGUUAAGGAAGCAGCGAAUAGACAGACUGAGAAGCUUAAAGACUGAAAAUUAAGAAGUGAAAGAAAUGCCCAAAGGAAGCUUUAAAAUAUAGAAAGCUGGGGAAAAAGCUUAAACAAUUUGAAAGAUGAUUUUUUGAAAAACUGUCUUUCUUAUUUGUAUGUUUAAGCCCCCUGGAUUUAUCAGAGAAUCAGCUGUUUUUGACAUACUGUUUAAUAGUUGGAAUUGGAAGUAGGAGAGCCAUCUACUGGAAGAAGAGGAGCAUUACAGCGGGAGAAUUUUCAAUGAAAGUGUAUUACCAUAUUUUUUGGAGUAUAAGACGCUCCGAACUAUAAGACGCACCUACCUUUUUUGGUGAGGAAAACAAGAAAAAGAAAUCUGCCUCUGCCUCCCAGCAAUUUUGCCUUGUUGCAGCAAACAGCAAAUAGCCUGCUUUACUUUCAUUUUCAUUUUCAUCAUAGCUUGAUUAGCACAAGAAAAAAAAAUCUGCUCCUAGCAAUUUAGCUCCUUGCAGCAAGCAGCAGAGGCCCGCACAGCAAUAGGCAAUGGCAAUCCCUGCAGCCUGAAACAGCUGAGUUGGGACACCAAUCCAACCGACAAUCAACUUGUGCUAAUUAGGCUGUGCUGAAGCUGAAAUGGCGAAUGGGCGGAGGCUCCGGGGAAAGGCCCGACUCUGUUUCUCCUCACUUGCAGUCACUCUUUUCCAAAAAAUAUGCUCAGACAAAAAAGUGUAGGAAGUUAGCACCCACCUUACUCCUACGAACAUGAGAAAUUUUAGAAAAUAUUAAAAGGGCAGAAUAUUUCCCCUACAAGGGAGGCAGAAACUCAGGAGGCCCCCCACCUUUGUCAAUGGGCCAUUAAGGCCUGGGCCAGUCUAUUCUACAUAACAAAGAUCUACCUCCUUUAGGCAGAGCCAUAGUAGGAAUUGCCCAAAGCCCUUUCAUUACAUCAUCACCCAGCAAGAGUCAACCAAGCCUGGGACUCAAAAGACAACCUACAAAGUUACCCUUGCAUUGGCCAAGAGGAGUCUGACAACCAAUCAGUACACAAGUUCAAAUUCAAAGCCCAACAGUGGGUAUAAAACCCAGGCACUCUCAGCAUCUCUUCCCUUUUCUGCCCAGGAUCUUAAGCCAUGUGAUCCUGUUCAUCAAUAAACCUUCUUUCCAAGCAACUUCCAUGUUUCCAGUGUCUUUCUCCACAUUUGGAACUGAACCCAGAUGGACGCUUCUUCCAAUAAUUGCUUAGUGCAAAUUAAACAACUGGAAAAGAAUUAAACCUGUCCAAGUUAAAUAUAUGUGCAAAACGGCAGUGCACUUAAAAUAAUUUAAGUGCUGUAAUGAAUAGCCACAAAUAGUAAACAAGUUUGAAAUACAUUUGACUUUUUAUGAUGAAGUCAUUAUUUAGAUAAGAUAGCUGUUAUUAACAAGUUUGAUACUAGUUCUCAAGCUUCUCUAUCCCCAGACUACUUUAAGUAUAUCAACCUAAAGGUUAGAGAUAAAAUGCCUAGGGAAGAAUACUUUUCCUACUAUUUCUGGGGAUUUUCAUCGAUUGCAUGCAUUCAUUCAUUCAGGAAAGAAUUGUGUUAUUUCGCUUAUAUGCAUUUUAUAUCUGAUUACAAAAACUAUGGAAAGUUAGUUUCAAAAUUAUUUUCUUUUCUGGAUGUGGAACUAAUUUAUAUGUUACUAUUUCUUCCAUGGAUCUUUUAAAGUAGUGUUUUAUACUUAGGUCUGGCUUAUAAAAUACAAAUCACAUGAAGGAGACAUAUAUAUUAUUUGCAGCAUUUAAAAUACAGAAUUUGCACUUAGGAAGGUUUGGUCC